rnacentral:rRNA from 1 species
ACUGCUCAGUAACACGUGGAUAACCUACCCUAAGGAAGGGGAUAACCUCGGGAAACUGAGGAUAAUACCCUAUAGGUUACAGACGCUGGAAUGCCCUGUAACCGAAAGCUCCGGCGCCUUAGGAUGGAUCUGCGGCCGAUUAGGUUGUUGUUGGGGUAACGGCCCAACAAGCCGAUAAUCGGUACGGGUUGUGGGAGCAAGAGCCCGGAGUUGGAUUCUGAGACAUGAAUCCAGGCCCUACGGGGCGCAGCAGGCGCGAAAACUUUACAAUGCGGGAAACCGUGAUAAGGGAACCCCGAGUGCCUAUAUAUGCAGGCUGUCCAGGUGUCUAAAAAACACCUGAAGAAAGGGCCGGGCAAGACCGGUGCCAGCCGCCGCGGUAAUACCGGCGGCUCGAGUGGUGGCCACUUUUAUUGGGCUUAAAGCGUUCGUAGCUGGGUUGUUAAGUCUCUUGGGAAAUCUGACGGCUCAACCGUCAGGCGUCCAAGGGAUACUGGCAAUCUUGGAACCGGGAGAGGUGAGGGGUACUUCGGGGGUAGGAGUGAAAUCCUGUAAUCCUCGAGGGACCACCUGUGGCGAAGGCGCCUCACCAGAACGGCUUCGACAGUGAGGGACGAAAGCUGGGGGAGCAAACCGGAUUAGAUACCCGGGUAGUCCCAGCCGUAAACGAUGCGCGUUAGGUGUAUCGGUGACCACGAGUCACCGAGGUGCCGAAGGGAAACCGUGAAACGUGCCGCCUGGGAAGUACGGUCGCAAGGCUGAAACUUAAAGGAAUUGGCGGGGGAGCAC